rnacentral:rRNA from 1 species
AGUGACACCACGUUCAACGGCGGCGGUAUCCUAACCGUGCAAGGGUAGCGCAAUCAAUUGUCCCAUAAAUAGAGACUUGUAUGAAUGGUUCAACGAGGCCCUAACUGUCUCCUGCUGAUAAUCAGUGAAGCUGAUCCCCCUGUACAAAAGCAGGGAUAGCCACAUAAGACAAGAAGACCCUGUGGAACUUCAAAAUCUGUAGGCACUAACAAACCACCCCUAAACCUACCAGGCUCACCGCCCAAAACAGCUGGCUAACAUUUUUAGGUUGGGGCGAGCUUGGAGAAAAACAAACCCUCCAAAAAUAAGGCCAGAUCCCCUAACUAAGAGCAACCCCUCAACGUGCCAACAGUACCCAGACCCAAUAAAAUUGACCAAUGAACCAAGCUACCCCAGGGAUAACAGCGCAAUCUCCUUCAAGAGCCCCUAUCGACAAGGAGGUUUACGAGCUCGAUGUUGGAUCAGGACAUCCUAGUGGUGCAGCCGCUACUAAGGGUUCGUUUGUUCAACGAUUAAAAGUCCUACGUGAUCUGAG